rnacentral:rRNA from 1 species
UACAGAGGGUGCGAGCGUUAAUCGGAAUUACUGGGCGUAAAGGGCGCGUAGGCGGCCUUCUAAGUCGAACGUGAAAUCCCCGGGCUCAACCCGGGAACUGCGUCCGAGACUGAAAGGCUAGAAUCCGGGAGAGGGAUGUGGAAUUCCAGGUGUAGCGGUGAAAUGCGUAGAUAUCUGGAGGAACAUCGGUGGCGAAGGCGGCAUCCUGGACCGGUAUUGACGCUGAGGCGCGAAAGCCAGGGGAGCAAACGGG